CACAGUGACCCGACCCACACUGUCCAGACGAUGGGGCCACAUAGGAUUCCCACAGUGGGAGAUGCUGACCUGGACAAGAGAGGGCAAGGGACACAAGCUCCCAAGAUCCAAGGCACCGACGCUUUCCCUGAUGGCAUCAUCAUCACGCAACUAGGACAGCUGACCCGCGUCUUCCUCACGACGUGGAAUGGUUUGAGUCAAGGGUUUUCCUGGCCAUGAGCCACGUGGAGGCUGUGCCUUUUGUUUCCUGUGAGAAAUCUUCAACCAGCGCCACUCUCAGCCUCCCCUCUGCCAGUGCUUCUGUGGCUGCACCUGCAUUCGUGGGCUGUGGCUGCAAAGCACAGGAAUAACUGAUGGCUCGUGGGGCACUUUGCUGGGCUGCUUCCAGAAAAGUUGACCCCUCCCUGCAAACCAGCACUGCCCAGCAUUCUUGUCCCGCCAAGCCUGACUGCGAGCUGUUGUGGCAUUGCCACUUUGCUCGGAAAGGGCUGCUUAUCUUUUAUUUCCCUUGCAUUUCUUUCAAUUCUACCAUUGACCAUUUCUCACACGUGUGGUCAUCAUUGUAUUUCGCCCCCAUUUUGUGAGGUUUAGUGUAUUCUUAAAGUUUCCUGGGUUUUGAUGAGAGCAUAUUCUGUCAUUAUAUUUAACAGGUGUUUUCCCCAGCUUGGAUGUGUUUGGCCAUUAGCUUCUUUUCUGCUAUUUUACACUAGUCUGUUAUUCUUCACUACAAAAGGACUCUGCCGAGGGUCCCCAUGCUCCCCAUGCUUUGGGCUGUGAGGUAGCAGGGGAAGGCAGGUGUCCUUCCUUCUUUGAAGUGCGGGUUGGGGCAGGACGGCAGACCCUGGGGUCACUGCUGAGGAGGGGAAGGAUGGGAUUAGGACUGUUCUCUUCCUGGCCUCACGAGCUCCCCCAGCUCCUUCUUGUGGAUGGAGAAGAAACCUGAUUGUCACGGAGAGUGAGUUUGUCCGUGGGGCCUUUCCUGCGCGGCUCACAUAGAACGGGCUGUGAGGUCCCUCCACUGAGGAGCACGUGCCGGGCCAGGUGCCCACGACUGUUGGGAAAACCCAGGCCUGUGUUCCAGGAAGCAAAGGUCUUUAGAUGAAGGUUUUAAGAAUGAAAAUUAACCCACAGAAUGGUGAGGUUGGUUGGAGCCUGGAUUCCAUGGGGUAAGACAGCCACAGCCAGAACAAAGUCAGCUCCGGCCUGGUUCCACGUGCCCUGUCCAGCACGUCCCCCAAGCACAGGCAUGGGCCCCCGGACCAGCCGCGGACCCCUCCUCGCGCUUUGCAACGCCUCACAGCUGGCCCCGCACCCCUGGGGCAGGACCACUCCCUCUUCUUAUUCUUCUGUGUGUCACCUUCCCAGACUCUGCACAUAGUCGGCACUACAUAAAUGGUGGCUGCAAAAAGGAGACGAGCAGCAGAGCAAUGCCCCAGGGAACAAGAGGGGCGCUAUUGCCAAGGCCAGGGCCAGGGUAUCUGCCCUGAGGCCUGAGCCCCACACGACCCAGGGCCCCAGAGCCCCAUGGCCCAUCUCACUGCUGGGGCUGAACCCCCAGGGCCCCUGCAGCCACUGCCUCAGGAGGUCAGGUUGGGGUGUGGAGUGGGAGGGACGGGUGUUUCCAGGGAAUCCCUGUGUAGGUGGGAUCCGGAGGGCUUGAAACCCUCAAGCUACCCGCCAGCUCCACGCCUAGGACAGGCCUUAUAGAGUUCAGGAUCUGCCAGCUCCCAGGGGCAGCCUCAAUGUCCGGGGUGGAUGGGGGUUUCUGUGGGUUCACUUCUGCCCCCAGCUGGGAUGCUUGGAAGGAGAGCUCAGGGACAGUGUGGCCAGACCCCGACCCAGACAGAAGAUUCUGUCUGAGAGACCGGGGGAGCAGCAGGGACCUUCACAGAGGGACAGAGGCCCAGGAAGCAGCGGCUGCUGCUGUGAGCCUACGGCGAGAGCCAUGGUCACAGAAGACCCACUUGUUGCCAGGCGUUUUGCCUUCACAAUGGCAAAGUCUCCCAGUGGCCCAGGAGAAAAGGGAAUGCUCAUUCCAUUCUGCCUGCCAGAAAACAGAGGCUGAGGCCCAGAGGCUCAGGCAGCCUCCCCAGGUUCACCUCAUUUGGAAACAGCCCCUUCCCAUCCCUGGUUGCUGCCACAAUCUUCUAAGGGGACUUCCUCAGAGGUCAUUAAAUGCAUUGAAAACUGAUUCUGGUCCUCGACCCUAAGCUGCUGGAGGAGGGGGUGUGGGAGCAGAUUCGGGGUGCACCUGUGUGUUCAGGUGAAGCCUGAGGGAAAUUAGUCAUGGAGCUAAGCUGAACCACCUGCUGGGCCCCAGGCAGGCAAGGCCCUGUGGGCAGGUGGGAAGCCAGAGGCCGCCUCUCACCCCGGGGAGGGGCAGGGUCUGGAGUGAUGGUGCAGGGUGAGAUUUUGGCCAGGCACAACUCCAUCCAUCCCUGCAUCCCCAGGAAGCCACAGACACCCAGGUUCUGAGAGCCCGGCUCUCGAAUGUCCCUCCUCCCCCCACCUCCUUCGGUGCCCCUGGCCAUGCCAGCCCUGAGCAUGCAGCCUUCAACUUUCCCACGCACCCGCUUCCACUCUCCAGGGCUGAGGAGCAGGAAGGAGAUGGCUUGGAGGGGUGAGCCCCUGUCCUGUUCUCAGAGGGUCACAGCUACUCACUACCUGCUACGAAGAGAGGGAAGGGUGGGAGCCGUUCUAAACCAGCAUCAGUGCAUGCCACAAAAUAGAAGCCGUGCUUUACAAACUAGAAACGAGGGCUUGGUUGCAGGCAACUUCCCUAGAGACCCUGGCUGAGCCGAGGCUGGGGUCUGGCUGCGCUGCUCUGACGGUGUGCACGGGCGGGCUAGGCACUCGCCCUGAGUCCCAGAAAGAGGAGCCCACAGAUACAAAACUUAAAGGAUGUGUUAUUUUAUUUUUUAAUUUAAUUUUUGUUUUUUCAAAAGCAUCAAAGUCAUUGUGAUUGGAAGGAAUGCACAAGUUGGUCUGGGGUGCUGUCCCUGGGCGCCGAACCAGCCGGGGACAUGGCCGCUGGAGACCUGCCGACCCCGGGGCUGGGGGAGUGGUCUUGCGAGGAGCCUUUGCUUCCCACUCGCCGGCCGCCCCGCGGGGGCCUCCUGCCACCAGGUGGCGCUUCUUGGCCAGCCCAGGCCGCAGGACCUGCUGUCUCGUUUCCCCAGGAAUGGGGACGGCCCUGUUAUUCCCGUCGGAAUUUUACAGUUCAGAAAAGGAGACUCGGAGUGCAUAUAUAGCAACUUGGAGAAAGUCGCAAGGGACGAAGGACCCUUCCCCGGACACAGGAACCUUCUGGGGGAUGGGGACAGGGACUCAGGUGCAGAGAAAACCAGAGCUGCUACCGUGGGGACAGGGAAAGGGAGUCUACCCAGAGACAGCAGAGGCAGGAGCUGCCCACCCCCUUUGCCCCCCGUGGCCCCGAGCGAGGGGUUGCCACCACCCAGAGCCUGGGGACCAGGGGCCAGUGCCUGGGGACGGAGGCCAUGGUCGAGACAGGCGAGGGAUGUGGCGGAGACAGAGGGAGGCCCAGGUCGGCUGGCACAGGGCAAGGAGCAGGCGAGCCGACCCCAGGGCCUUGCCCUUGUCACGCCCCCUGCCAUGUUCCUGCUGGCCCCCUUCCUGCUCUGUGAGGUCCACGCGCAGGAGAAAGGGGCAGAAGGGAAGGU